UAUUCAAUAACAUUAUCUUUUUUGAUUGCUACUAAUUUAUUUAUGCUAAACAUGAAGACUAUCCCAUUGAUGUUCAUCGCCUUGAUCAUACUUUCAAUAUCAUUUCUAGCUCCGAUCAAAGCUCAAGGUUGACUGAUGGCGUCGAAAAAGAAGAAUUUGUGCAUCGGCUUACUCAACAAAAAGAAGGAUUAGAUUUACAAAUACAAGAGAUAGUGAAACUUGUAUUCGUAAGCCCUUGCGCUCACUUCUCUGUACUGAUUUCUUCGAAUUAAGGAGACUCACUUUAUUUCUUCUUUUGCAUAAAAUUAUUUAUAUAUAUAU
rnacentral:misc_RNA from 1 species